GACUGUAGGCUGCAACUCGCCUACACGAAGCUGGAAUCGCUAGUAAUCGCGGAUCAGCACGCCGCGGUGAAUACGUUCCCGGGCCUUGUACACACCGCCCGUCACACCAUGAGAGUCUGUAACACCCAAAGCCGGUGGGAUAACCUUUAUAGGAGUCAGCCGUCUAAGGUAGGACAGAUGAUUAGGGUGAAGUCGUAACAAGGUACC
rnacentral:rRNA from 1 species